rnacentral:rRNA from 1 species
AGAAUCAACGCUGGCGGCGUGCCUAACACAUGCAAGUCGAACGAGAAAGGGGUAGCAAUACCCUGAGUAAAGUGGCGCACGGGUGAGUAACACGUGACUAACCUACCCUGGAGUGGGGGAUAACUGAGGGAAACCUUAGCUAAUACCGCAUAAUACCUACGGGUCAAAGGAGCAAUUCGGCUUUGGGAGGGGGUCGCGGCCGAUUAGUUAGUUGGCGGGGUAAUGGCCCACCAAGACGAUGAUCGGUAUCCGGCCUGAGAGGGCGCACGGACACACUGGAACUGAAACACGGUCCAGACUCCUACGGGAGGCAGCAGUGGGGAAUUUUGCGCAAUGGGGGAAACCCUGACGCAGCAACGCCGCGUGGAGGAUGAAGUACUUCGGUACGUAAACUCCUUUCGAUCGGGACGAUUAUGACGGUACCGAGAGAAGAAGCCCCGGCUAACUUCGCGCCAGCAGCCGC